CACAUUCGUUCGUUUCAUGUUCUCCCAGCACCUUUCUACUCUUUUUGCCUUUGGAAUGGAGUCAAAACCCCAACUAGCCUUCAUGACCAUCGCCGCCAUUUUGGUCCUCAUCGUAUGUGCGUUUAACCCCUCUCAAUUUUAUGCUUUGCCCAUAUUUCUCCGUUACACAGUGACUUUUUGAAAGGUUGCUAUUUUGCGUGUACAUAAACAACUACCAUGUCACUAGCAUCUACAACAUCAGGCACCUCCCACCACCACUAUGGGUUACGUGUUGCUAUAAAUUCAUCACUCAUAUGAAUACUCCAGCAUCGCUCCAGUGAGAGUUCAAGUAAAAACUCUUUACAGCUCCACAUAUAUUGGUUACAAAUGACAACCACGUACAACAACCUCAAGGAUAUUGAGGGAUCUUCAGACCACUUAAUAUUGAGGAUUAAAGCGAGGGUCAUGAAAAUAUGGUCAUUGUCUCCUACUGAGCAAAAAUACGUGAAUCCAACUUUAGAAUUGGUGGUCAUGGAUCACGUGGGUGAUCGAAUUCAGUGCACUAUCAGGAAUGCU